UACGAAGGGGGCUAGCGUUGCUCGGAAUCACUGGGCGUAAAGCGCACGUAGGCGGACUCUUAAGUCAGGGGUGAAAUCCUGGAGCUCAACUCCAGAACUGCCUUUGAUACUGGGAGCCUUGAGUUCGAGAGAGGUGAGUGGAACUGCGAGUGUAGAGGUGAAAUUCGUAGAUAUUCGCAAGAACACCAGUGGCGAAGGCGGCUCACUGGCUCGAUACUGACGCUCAUGCACGAAAGCGUGGGGAGCAAACAGG
rnacentral:rRNA from 1 species